AUUCCACGGAUUCCCUGGUCAUACAUCUUGGCAGGUACAGAGAUAUACCUGCUGCAGCACUGGAGUCAAAGUUGGGGAAGAUACCAGCCUGAUCCG